rnacentral:rRNA from 1 species
GACGAACGCUGGCGGCGUGCUUAACACAUGCCAGUCGAACGGAAAGGCCCUGCUUUUGUGGGGUGCUCGAGUGGCGAAAGGGUGAGUAACACGGGAGAAACCUGCGCUAGACUUUGGGAUAACUUCAGGAAACUGGGGCUAAUACCGGAUAGGAGCUCCUACUGCAAGGUGGGGGUUGGAAAGUUUCGGAGGUUGGGGAUGGAAGCGCGGCUUAUCAGCUUGUUGGUGGGGUAGCGGCUUACUAAGGCAUUGACGGUUAGCCGGCCUGAGAGGGUGACCGGCCACAUUGGGACUGGGGUACGAGCCAGACUCCAACGGGAGGCAGCGGUGGAAAAUAUUGCACAAUGGGCGGAAGCCUUAUACAGCAACACCGCGUGCGGGAUGACUGCCGUCGGGGUAUAAACCGCUUUCGCCUGUGACGAUGCGUGUGUGACGGUAAUGUGUAAAGAAGCACCGGCUAACUACGUG